UAUUUCUAGCAUCUGUUGAAAAAUCAGAAGAUUUAGCAAUACUGAGCCCACCACCCCAGAUGAAAAAAAUCCUCCUGGUUCCAGGAUGAAGCAACUGCUUCAUCAGAAGCCCUUCAGAAGAACACACAGCACCUUGAAACAUCAUCCCUGUGCUGAGGCCUUCGCAGUCAGAGCUGCCUCUCCCUGGUUCCUGGAGAGCUCACUUCGGAGUGCUGCAUGUCCCUGCAUGUCGAGGGAAGGAAAGAGCACUUCCAGCCUGCCUCAUGCACAAAUGAACAUGCCAGAGGAACCCCACAGGCAGAGAGAGGCAAGACACCAUCAGCAUAUCCGGAAACUAUAUGCAGGAAGGACCUAAAACGUUCCAGAUGUGGAAAUGCAUGGAUGACAUCUUCCUGGCUGUUAUGGUAAGUCCAUGUCUGAAGACUGGCUCAUUAAACCAUGUAUAGUCCCAU
rnacentral:lncRNA from 10 species